rnacentral:rRNA from 1 species
CAGUAGCCGCGGUAAUUCGAAGGGGGCUAGCGUUGCUCGGAAUCACUGGGCGUAAAGGGUGCGUAGGCGGGUCUUUAAGUCAGGGGUGAAAUCCUGGAGCUCAACUCCAGAACUGCCUUUGAUACUGAAGAUCGUGAGUUCGGGAGAGGUGAGUGGAACUGCGAGUGUAGAGGUGAAAUUCGUAGAUAUUCGCAAGGACACCAGUGGCGAAGGCGGCUCACUGGCCCGAUACUGACGCUGAGGCACGAAAGCGUGGGGAGCAAACAGGAUUAGAUACCCGCGUAGUCCCUGUCUCUUAUAC